rnacentral:rRNA from 1 species
UACAGAGGGGGCAAGCGUUGUUCGGAAUUACUGGGCGUAAAGGGCGCGUAGGCGGCCUCUUAAGUCGAACGUGAAAUCCCCGGGCUCAACCCGGGAACUGCGUCCGAUACUGGGAGGCUUGAAUUCGGGAGAGGGAUGCAGAAUUCCAGGUGUAGCGGUGAAAUGCGUAGAUAUCUGGAGGAAUACCGGUGGCGAAGGCGGCAUCCUGGACCGACAUUGACGCUGAUGAGCGAAAGCUAGGGGAGCAAACGGG